UAACACGGACCCAAGGAGUCUAACAUGCGCGCGAGUCAUUGAGUGGUACGAAACCCAAAGGCGCAGUGAAAGCGAGGGCAGUCUCGGGCUUGCCCAGGUGGGAUCCCUCUUCGGGGGGCGCACCACCGGCCCGUCCCGUCCGCGUCGGCGGUGGGGCGGAGCAGGAGCGCGCAUGCUGGGACCCGAAAGAUGGUGAACUAUGCUUGAGUAGAACGAAGCCAGAGGAAACUCUGGUGGAAGUCCGUAGCGAUUCUGACGUGCAAAUCGAUCGUCAAACUUGAGUAUAGGGCGAAAGACUAUCGAGCACUU
rnacentral:rRNA from 1 species